rnacentral:lncRNA from 1 species
AAAAGAGUGCUUCCACAUUAAAUCAAGAAAGACACACACACAAGUGAACUGGAAGAGUAUCACACCCUCUUAGGCCUCAAUGUCCACAACAUCACUGGCCACAGCUUUUAGUUUCAGGAGAAGCCCUGGAGGCUCUCACCUCCCACUUCAGGCUGCCCAAAGUCACAGAGCCUGUGACUCCAGGACUCAUCUUUCUACAAACGCUUUGGUUGGCCAGCGCUUCCUUUUACCGUCAGCCGCCCCUGCCCGGGACACUUGCAGAUCAGGGGACUUUGUGGGUCUCAUUGAGGCUGUAUUUGCGGAUUCAAUUACGCAUUUUUAAUUCCGCAAAUAUUUGCCACUGCUGCCUGACCUGGAGCCUGUGUGGCCAGAUCCUUUGAUCGAAAGCCGUCUGCCUGUGGAUCAGACCCUGUGGUGAGUGGUGACAGCCCAGGGGUGGGGAGGCAGAUCACCCUGCUGGGUUGCUGGGGAAGGCUGUGUGGAGGCCAUAGGGUCUGAGCAAUAUACUAAGACCUAGUUAAAGAUUUGCAGCGAGAGAAUCCAUGAAACAUGAAACACGGAGGCUGUGGGGGGUCGAGUUAGGACUCUGGAUGGCCACAUCCUGACCCCCAGAACAUGCAACCACCGCCUUGUAUGGAAAGGGGGCUUUGCGGAUGUGAUAGGGCUGAGGCUCCUGAGAUGGGUGAUUUUCUUGGAUGAUCCUGGCGGGCCAAUGAAAUCACAGGGUCCUUCUGAGAGGGAGGGAGGACAGCAGAGAGGGGAAGGUGAUGUGGCCACAGAGCCAGAGAUGACGGAAGGGGCUGCCAGCCCAGGGGUCCAGGUACCACCGGAAGAAGGAAAGACAGAGACAUGGGGUCUCCCCAUGCCCAGCCCUGCAGAGACCCUGAAUUCAGCGCAGGGGUACUGAUUUGGGGGUUAUGGCCUCCAGAACUGUGAGAGAAUAAGUCUCCGUUGUCUUAUGCCACCGAGUGUGCGGUACGUGUUAUGGCAGCCACAUAGCAGGUGUGAGGAAGCUGGAGAAGGGACUGAAGAUGGGGUGCAGCUGGGACCACCCUGCUGGGCUAAGGCCAGUUCUGGAAAGAGACUGAACAGCUCUCCCUCAGGAGCAGUGAGGGAGGAACCCGUGAGUCAGUGGAGGGUGGGAGGAAACGUGGGAGGAGCCUCCGACAUCCUAGAAACGCGGGGGUACCAAAGCCAGCACCGGCCUGCGGGGGGAAAGCCGGCCUCUUACGCCCUGGAAGAGGAAACUCACAGAGAUCCCCACAACGACACCCAGCUGUGCAGGAGGCCCACGUCCUGUCUCAUUUCAUUUUCUCCUCUCGGUGAACAAAAAGAGAAGAAAAUGACAGGAGCAGAAGGUCAAAGGGAAGCAUCGAGAGAAAGAGGAUGAAUUGACACCUGUGGCUAAUUGAAGUGAAAUCAGAUCACAGAGGCCAUGAGACCCACGUCCAGAGGGCCCUAGGAGGGAGCUGUGGGCUCAGCUGGUUGAUUUACUCUGGCUUGGGUCGCUGCUACUGCUUUGAGGACAAUAAGCUUGGCCAUCACCAGACACCAGAGGAUGCUGAAGGGACAGCCGGCUAGACUAUUUCAUGGACUCUCUGAGCAUGUCCUAUUGCAGUCCAGGUACAAACUUUUCCUCCAGAAAUAGACAGAGGGAUGCUGCUUCCCAAUUUCAGCAAAGGCAGUGGAAAGAUCCCGGUCAAAAGUAGAAACUCUGGGUCCAGGCCUUCCAGCUGACACUCACUCUGAUAUGGUUUGGCUGUGUUCCCACCCAAAUCUCAACUUGAAUUGUAUCUCUCAGAAUUCCCACGAGUUGUAGGAGGGAUCCAGGUGGAGGUAAUUGAAUCAUGGGGUGGGUCUUUCCCAUGCUAUUCUCGUGAUAGUGAAUAAGU